AGGAAAGUAAUGCAAUUGUCAUUAACCAGAGUGAAUGGCCUAGCUGAUGGAUGCCAGCAACGUGCGGAGGCUUGAUAAUCACCUGCUCAUCUCAGGAUGAAUGUGACGCUUUCGUUCCCCCGCAAAGUAUUUAUUUGUGAGAGAUUAGAUUUGACUGGAGUCCUCAGCUUUCUUUCAUCAUUGUCAUUUCCUCUCUGUUCCUCCACUUCCAGCAAUGACUUAGUGGCUCUCAGAAUAACAAGUGUCUUCAGGG
rnacentral:lncRNA from 1 species